GUCAUUUACUCCUGUCAAUAAUGCAUUUGGUGACAAGAAACAGAACUCAGCUUGCAGUGGCUUAAAUUGAAGAGACACAAUUUUACAUAUUAUGAGAAAUAGAUGGCUUCAGCAUUGAUUCAAUAUCUUGAUGCUGUCGGGGCUAAGGACUCUGACAUUCUCUUGGUCACAAGAUGGCUCCUGCAACUCCAGACAUCACAUCUUUGUUCAAAGCAGGAAGUAGAAGAAAGAGGGAAAGAGCUUCAUCUAUCCUGUUUUAUUAGGAAAACAGAAACAUUUCCAGAACCUGCCCUCAGACUUCUGCUUAUAUCCCCUUGCCCAGAACUUUGUUUCCUGGUCAUCCCUUGCUGAAAGGCGCCCUGGGAAAGACCCUCACAAAGGCUGGGUGAAGACGGCCAUGACUCUCAGACACCCUGAGGCCAGGGGUAAGGUUGUGCAUCGAAAUGCG
ensembl:lncRNA